rnacentral:tRNA from 1 species
ACCUGGCUGGCUCAGUCAAUAGAGCACAGGAUUCUUGAUCUCGGGGUCAUGAGUUCAAGCCCCAUGUUAGGUG